UACGUAGGGUGCAAGCGUUGUCCGGAAUUAUUGGGCGUAAAGAGCUCGUAGGCGGUUCGUCGCGUCGGCUGUGAAAACCUGAGGCUCAACCUCAGGCCUGCAGUCGAUACGGGCGGACUUGAGUACUGCAGGGGAGACUGGAAUUCCUGGUGUAGCGGUGAAAUGCGCAGAUAUCAGGAGGAACACCGGUGGCGAAGGCGGGUCUCUAGUACGGUACUGACGCUGAGACGCGAAAGCGUGGGGAGGCGAACAGG
rnacentral:rRNA from 1 species